GGAUGACCUGUGGCUGGGGGUGAAAGGCCAAUCAAACCGGGAGAUAGCUGGUUCUCCCCGAAAGCUAUUUAGGUAGCGCCUCGUGAAUUCAUCUCCGGGGGUAGAGCACUGUUUCGGCCAGGGGGCCAUCCCGGCUUACCAAUCCGAUGCAAACUGCGAAUACCGGAGAAUGUUAUCACGGGAGACACACGGCGGGUGCUAACGUCCGUCGUGAAGAGGGAAACAACCCAGACCGCCAGCUAAGGUCCCAAAGUCAUGGUUAAGUGGGAAACGAUGUGGGAAGGCCCAGACAGCCAGGAUGUUGGCUUAGAAGCAGCCAUCAUUUAAAGAAAGCGUAAUAGCUCACUGGUCGAGUCGGCCUGCGCGGAAGAUGUAACGGGGCUAAACCAU
rnacentral:rRNA from 1 species